GUCUACAGCCUUAGCACCCUGAAUGCUGCCGUAUCUCAUUUGAUCUUAGAAGCUAAGCAGGGUCGGGCCUGCGAGUACUCGGAUGGGAGAAAAACAUACUCCAAACUACAGCACUUAGCAUAGUGGGCA
rnacentral:rRNA from 1 species